rnacentral:lncRNA from 1 species
GCCGGGACGCCGGGUCGCUCCAGCCCGGGCGGCCUGGGUCUGUUGGCCGCGAGCGGGGCAAGGCUCGGCCUCCUGGCUUGCCGCUCCCGCCGCCGAGGCCGGCGCGCCUGGCGUCCAGCCUCCCGAAGACGGAGCGGCGGCUCCGGCGGCCGCAGCUCGAAUUCUGCCCGCGGACGCCUGGGACGGUGGGGACAGGCUCGGGGCGGGCCCCGGCGUAGCGUGGCGGACCUCUGGGCCAUGGGGACGGGUGCGGGCAAAGCGUCGAGAGUUCCAGGGGCUUGCGGCUCCACCAAGGAUGGAGUCGAGCGGCGGGCACGGGGGCGGCAAGGAACGGCAGCGCCUUUCUGGAGGGUGACGGCGGCUCGCCGCGGGUUUCUGGGAUUAGAGGCCCAGGGCAACGGGAAGGAGAACCUGACAGGGUGGAGACCAAGUUCUCUGUCGCCUGAGGUCAUGGAAUAAACGAGGUCUUCUUGGGGCCCCUGUUGGUGGAAUUAACGUCCACUGUUUUCUCCAACUCUAACGAGUCGAGGGCCAGCAGAUGACGAGGCAGCCCACAAAACUGUCACUGCGUGCGUCCGUGUUUCAGGUCCCGGUGAGAACGUCGGUAGCUGCAAACAGCAGGUACGGCAGAAGGUGCUGUCUUCGCGGCACACCCAAACUGGGAAGCCAGCAGAGCACAUGGUGCUGGCCGCCCAA